UAAUAGCUCACUGGUCGAGUCGGCCUGCGCGGAAGAUGUAACGGGGCUAAACCAUGCACCGAAGCUGCGGCAGCGACACUAUGUGUUGUUGGGUAGGGGAGCGUUCUGUAAGCCUGUGAAGGUGUACUGUGAGGUAUGCUGGAGGUAUCAGAAGUGCGAAUGCUGACAUAAGUAACGAUAAAGCGGGUGAAAAGCCCGCUCGCCGGAAGACCAAGGGUUCCUGUCCAACGUUAAUCGGGGCAGGGUGAGUCGACCCCUAAGGCGAGGCCGAAAGGCGUAGUCGAUGGGAAACAGGUUAAUAUUCCUGUACUUGGUGUUACUGCGAAGGGGGGACGGAGAAGGCUAUGUUGGCCGGGCGACGGUUGUCCCGGUUUAAGCGUGUAGGCUGGUUUUCCAGGCAAAUCCGGAAAAUCAAGGCUGAGGCGUGAUGACGAGGCACUACGGUGCUGAAGCAACAAAUGCCCUGCUUCCAGGAAAAGCCUCUAAGCAUCAGGUAACAUCAAAUCGUACCCCAAACCGACACAGGUGGUCAGGUAGAGAAUACCAAGGCGCUUGAGAGAACUCGGGUGAAGGAACUAGGCAAAAUGGUGCCGUAACUUCGGGAGAAGGCACGCUGAUAUGUAGGUGA
rnacentral:rRNA from 1 species